GACGAACGCUGGCGGCGUGCUUAACACAUGCAAGUCGAACGGAAAGGCCCCUUUGGGGGUACUCGAGUGGCGAACGGGUGAGUAACACGUGAGUAACCUGCCCUUGACUUCGGGAUAACUUCAGGAAACUGGGGCUAAUACCGGAUAGGAAUCCUUGCUGCAUGGUGGGGGUUGGAAAGCUUCGGCGGUUUUGGAUGGACUCGCGGCUUAUCAGCUUGUUGGUGGGGUAGUGGCUUACCAAGGCUUUGACGGGUAGCCGGCCUGAGAGGGCGACCGGCCACAUUGGGACUGAGAUACGGCCCAGACUCCUACGGGAGGCAGCAGUGGGGAAUAUUGCACAAUGGGCGGAAGCCUGAUGCAGCAACGCCGCGGGCGGGAUGACGGCCUUCGGGUUGUAAACCGCUUUCAGCAGGGGCGAAGCUUGUGGUGACGGUACCUGCAGAAGAAGCACCGGCUAACUACGUA
rnacentral:rRNA from 1 species